CAAGGUGGAGAAUGAAGAAAAUCCUGAACCCGGUGACCUUGCAGCCUCCGAGGAAUGCGCAUGCAUGACGCAUCCUGCAUUCUGAUACUGCGAAGUUCAGUGCCCUCCAUGUAAAUCUCUGCUUAAAAUACAGCAGCGUCGUUAGUUGGUAUGACUGAUGAAACGUUGCAAAGCCAGAAUGAAUCACAACAAGCUCAGCAAGAAGAGAGGUGACUUUGGUGGGGCCUGGGAAAAAACGUCUGACCAAGAAGACCAAUGCUGAAGGGAAGAUGGGAACUCUUCAAGCCCUGACUUCCAUAAAUUACCAUGCUGGUAUUCACUAAGCAAAAUUUCAGAUUUGAGACUUUCUGUCAAAUUGCCAGCACUAGUACCUGGAACCAUAAUUUCAGACAUGUAUGACAUUUGUUUUUUGCCAGGAAAUCCAAGCUAUUCAGAGGAUGUUUUGAAAGGAAGAGCCACCCAGAAUUACCUGAUGGGCCUGAACGUGGAGCCAUGAGUAUCUUGGUCUGGCUCUUUAUAACCAAACCAGAGGAAAACCACUUAAACAUAAGGCACCGUGGAGACUCGCAGACUGUCUAGAAAUG
rnacentral:lncRNA from 1 species